GGAGGGAUCAUUACCGAGUUUACAACUCCCAAACCCAAUGUGAACGUUACCAAACUGUUGCCUCGGCGGGAUCUCUGCCCCGGGUGCGUCGCAGCCCCGGACCAAGGCGCCCGCCGGAGGACCAACCAAAACUCUUAUUGUAUACCCCCUCGCGGGUUUUUUUAUAAUCUGAGCCUUCUCGGCGCCUCUCGUAGGCGUUUCGAAAAUGAAUCAAAACUUUCAACAACGGAUCUCUUGGUUCUGGCAUCGAUGAAGAACGCAGCGAAAUGCGAUAAGUAAUGUGAAUUGCAGAAUUCAGUGAAUCAUCGAAUCUUUGAACGCACAUUGCGCCCGCCAGUAUUCUGGCGGGCAUGCCUGUCCGAGCGUCAUUUCAACCCUCGAACCCCUCCGGGGGGUCGGCGUUGGGGAUCGGCCCUCCCUUAGCGGGUGGCCGUCUCCGAAAUACAGUGGCGGUCUCGCCGCAGCCUCUCCUGCGCAGUAGUUUGCACACUCGCAUCGGGAGCGCGGCGCGUCCACAGCC
rnacentral:misc_RNA from 1 species